GGCCGGGUCCCAUGCAAGCCGAGCCCGCGAACCUGGUCAGGCGGGGAACCGAGCAGCCAUAAGCGAACGCUUGAUUGUGUAUGGCAAACCCGGCCACU
rnacentral:SRP_RNA from 1 species